ACCAAGAGGUGUUGCCGCAUAUACUGGUUGGAUAACUAACUGUUUGCUUCCGUGUUGGGGUAACUCCCCGGUAAGGAGUGCUUCCUUUUUGGACCCAGCCUGCUUUACUGUAAUCUUACCAGGGCUGCGGAAGAAAAGUAAAGUCUAAAAUGUGAACCCAGAAGCAAUGUUCCGUCAGACUACAACUUUAGUCUACAUUGUUUCUGUGAAUAUUGGUGAACAAAUAUCUGUCUGAGUUCCUGCUUUCGUUGGGGCAUAAACCCAGAAGUGGAACGGCUGGAUCAUAUGAACCUUCAUUCUAGUGGGAGACAACCAAUAAACAAAAUACACAACAUAUUACGUGGCAAGAGGCACAGGAAAAACAGAGCAAGGU